AUGGCGUGUCGUCAGCUCGUGUCGUGAGAUGUUGGGUUAAGUCCCGCAACGAGCGCAACCCUGCCUUUAGUUGCCAGCAGUUCGGCUGGGCACUCUAAAGGGACUGCCGGUGGUUAAACCGGAGGAAGGUGGGGAUGACGUCAAGUCCUCAUGGCCUUUAUGACCAGGGCUACACACGUACUACAAUGGCCGAUACAAAGGGCAGCGACACUGCGAGGUGAAGCCAAUCCCGUAAAAUCGGUCUCAGUCCGGAUUGGAGUCUGCAACUCGACUCCAUGAAGUUGGAAUCGCUAGUAAUCGUGGAUCAGCAUGCCACGGUGAAUACGUUCCCGGGCCUU
rnacentral:rRNA from 1 species